rnacentral:rRNA from 1 species
UACGGAGGGGGCCAGCGUUGUUCGGAUUUAUUGGGCGUAAAGAGCGUGUAGGCGGCCAGGUAGGUCUGCUGUGAAAACUCGAGGCUCAACUUCGAGCUGCGGUGAAACCUUCUGGCUAGAGUCCGGAAGAGGAGAGCGUAGUACUUCGGUGUAGCGGUGAAAUGCGCAGAUAUCAGGAGGAACACCCGGUGGCGAAGGCGGCUCUCGG